GCUGGGUAUGGUACUGCAUGCCUGUAGUCCCAGCUACCUGGGAGACUAAGGCAGGAAUAUUGCUUGAGCCCAGGAGUUUGAGGCCACAGUGAGCUAUGAACAUGCCACUGCACUCCAGCCUGGGCAAUAGAGUAAGACCCUGUCUCAAAAAAAAAAAAAAAAGUUCAACAUCAAUAUAGUGACCUCCUGGGAGCAGGGGACCACUAGGUUGCCUAAGGAGCAGUGAUUUGGCCCAGGUAAGAAAAAGAGCAGGUCAAAACUCCCAUGCUGAUGUGUAGUAGGCUAACACUUGCGAAGCCACUGUGCUCCACCCUGGGCAACAUAGCAAGACCUCAUUUCU
rnacentral:SRP_RNA from 1 species